rnacentral:ncRNA from 1 species
UUAUGCCGUCGGUGCCCCGUAAAAGGGGAUAAUAGGGAACCCGGUGCGAAUCCGGGACAGCCCCCGCUACUGUCAGUGACUUGAGGCUUCAUAUGUCAUUGGGAUAUCUCCGGAUACCCCGAGAAGGCGGAGCUUCUUAUAUGCACGAGCCAGGAGACCUGCCGAUGAGUUUUA